rnacentral:rRNA from 1 species
UAGGGAAUCUUCCACAAUGGACGCAAGUCUGAUGGAGCAACGCCGCGUGAGUGAAGAAGGUCUUCGGAUCGUAAAGCUCUGUUGUUGGUGAAGAAGGAUAGAGGCAGUAACUGGUCUUUAUUUGACGGUAAUCAACCAGAAAGUCACGGCUAACUACGUGCCAGCAGCCGCGGUAAUACGUAGGUGGCAAGCGUUGUCCGGAUUUAUUGGGCGUAAAGCGAGCGCAGGCGGAAUGAUAAGUCUGAUGUGAAAGCCCACGGCUCAACCGUGGAACUGCAUCGGAAACUGUCAUUCUUGAGUGCAGAAGAGGAGAGUGGAACUCCAUGUGUAGCGGUGGAAUGCGUAGAUAUAUGGAAGAACACCAGUGGCGAAGGCGGCUCUCUGGUCUGCAACUGACGCUGAGGCUCGAAAGCAUGGGUAGCGAACAGGAUUAGAUACCCUGGUAGUCCAUGCCGUAAACGAUGAGCGCUAGGUGUUGGGGACUUUCCGGUCCUCAGUGCCGCAGCAAACGCAUUAAGCGCUCCGCCUGGGGAGUACGACCGCAAGGUUG